GUUGAAACUAGGAACUAAAUACUGAAGAUGAUAACGCAGCUGUGGCUCACAGUGGGGAGGAUGUAGGAAAUACUAGCCCCAGUAAGCCUCCAGGAUCCUCCAGAAAGAAGAACAAAAGAGGGUAUAGUUAUGCAACCACCUUUCAGCUGCUGCGAUUAGAGGCAGGAACAGAGGUUGUAAACAAGGAGCAUGUACUGAAGAAAGGAGCCUACUUGUCAGUUCUUUACCUACGUCAUUUGAGAAUCCAAGAGCUAAAGCGAGUCUGCCUGGGGAUCCUGAACUACUUCAGAUCCGUGGAGAGAACCCUGACCAUCAGUACUGCGGGCCUAUCCUUCAAAGCUGGUAAUUUAAUUCCCAGCGCAGAAGAUACCUGCUGGGUCAGUGCUGCCAAAGGAGGCACUGGUGUUUCUGGUGGCCUGAGUUCUCAGCCUUAUGUUCAUUACACACCAGCUGACUACAAGGUGAGGUACCCCAUAGCCUCAAGUCUUCCAAAAUGCGUGCUUCAGCAGAAGUGUGUGUCACGUUCCUCCCUGCAGCUGCCAGCCUGGUCACCUCUUCCACGCAGACUCUAUUCUGAUGAACUGCUGAAUCAUCUCAGGCAUUUAGUUCCUCAAGACCACAUGUCUCGCCUUCGUGGACUUGAUACCUUUCUCCACCAGAGGUCUGUAACAAACCUCUGAGAAACCUAAUGCCUGCCAGAUAAACAUGAAUUCAAACUUGUGCUUAUACUCGCACUUCUACAUGUUUUGGAUUAUCACCCAGUGUAUGUUUCUAGCCCUAGGAAAUUGGAGGCAUUUUACAAUGUAUGGAAAUGCUUGCUUAAGUAACUGUUAAUGAUUUCUAAAAUGUAUUAUUUAGUUUUAGGUACAGUUUAGGGUUAAUUGUUUUUUAAUCUUGGAUGCCAAUGUGUGGCUGAAGUGAUAUAAAUAGUCUGCUUAGCUUUACAGGUUGGAAAAAUAAUUCCAACUAAAUACCUAAGCCUUAUCAAACUUUGGUUUCCCCCACUUUUUUUGUAAAAUAUACUAAACUGAAUCAAUAUAUUAUGCUGGUUUUAGUGAUUUGAUGUGGUAUAAAGUCUGUUCUUCUGAGCAGCCAAAUCUCCUUGCAGCUCUGCUACAUACCAGUCAUACUAAAGUCUUUGUAUAAAAAUCCUGAAGAAGCACUAUAGCAUAUUAUUCAGUAUUUUUUUCAACAUUUUGAGUUCACAUUUAUUUUUCAUUUACUGAAAACUUGUCUUUUUUGCUGUAGAAACACCAAAACCAAGCACACAAACUACUCCACGAGAGGAUUAUGGCUAGAACUGAAAAGGAAGUAGGCUUCCUGCUCCCAUUUUUGCUUACAUUAAGACUUCAAACCCUCCCCCCCAAACUUCCUGUCCCUAAACAUGAGAAAAGUCUAAGACUCCUUAAAAAUAAAACUUGUGGAGGAUGUGGGGUACA
rnacentral:lncRNA from 1 species